rnacentral:rRNA from 1 species
AGAGUUUGAUCCUGGCUCAGGAUGAACGCUAGCGACAGGCUUAACACAUGCAAGUCGAGGGGCAGCGGAGCUGAAAGCUUGCUUUCAGCUGCCGGCGACCGGCGCACGGGUGAGUAACACGUAUGCAACCUGGCCGUGACAAAUGGAUAACCGGGAGAAAUUCCGCCUAAUACAGCAUAAUGCCUUGAAGGGACAUCUCUUUGAGGCCAAAGGAGGCGACUCCGGUCACGGAUGGGCAUGCGGCGCAUUAGGUAGUUGGUGAGGUAACGGCCCACCAAGCCGACGAUGCGUAGGGGUUCUGAGAGGAAGGUCCCCCACAUUGGAACCGAGACACGGUCCAAACUCCUACGGGAGGCAGCAGUGAGGAAUAUUGGUCAAUGGCCGGAAGGCUGAACCAGCCAAGUCGCGUGAGGGAAUAAGGCCCUAUGGGUCGUAAACCUCUUUUGCCGGGGAGCAAGGGAUUCCACGUGUGGGAUUCCGGAGAGUACCCGGAGAAAAAGCAUCGGCUAACUCCGUGCCAGCAGCCGCGGUAAUACGGAGGAUGCGAGCGUUAUCCGGAUUUAUUGGGUUUAAAGGGUGCGUAGGCGGCCGAUUAAGUCAGCGGUAAAAUUGCGGGGCUCAACCCCGUACCGCCGUUGAAACUGGUCGGCUUGAGUGAGCGAGAAGUAUGCGGAAUGCGUGGUGUAGCGGUGAAAUGCAUAGAUAUCACGCAGAACUCCGAUUGCGAAAGCAGCAUACCGGCGCUCAACUGACGCUGAAGCUCUAGAUCACGGGGAUCAAACAGGAUUAGAUACGCAGGUAGUCCGCACAGUACAAGAUGAAUGCUAGUUGUCCGGAGGGCAUGACCUCUGGGUGACACAGAGAAAGCGUUAAGCAUUUCACAUGGGGAGUACGCCGGCGACGGUGAAACUCGAAGGAAUUGACGGGGGUCUGCACAAACUGAGGAACAUGUGAUAUAAUUGGAUGAUACGUGAGGAACCUUACCCGGGUUCGAACGACACAGCAAUAAUUCUUGAAAGGAGGUAAGCCAGCAAUCGUUUGUGUCGAGGUGCUGCAUGCUUGUCGUCAGCUUGUGCUGUGAGGUGUCGGCUUAUGUGCCAUAACGAGUGCGACCCCUACCUGACAGUUACUCAAUGGUAUAGCAGAGGAGUCGGUCCGGGACUGUCAGCGCAUAGCCUGUGAGGAAGGCAGGGGAAGACGUCAAAUGAGCUCGGCCCCUUAGUCCUGGGGAGACACACCUGUUACGAUGGCAGGUACAGCGGGAAGCCAUGAGUCGAGUCAGAGCAGAAUCCGGAAACAGGUCUCAGACUUGGAAUUGAGUCUGCGACCCGGACUCCAUGAAGCUGGAUUCAGAGUAGUAAUCGCGCAUCACCCAUGGCUCGGAGAAUACGUUGCCCGGGCCUUGUACACAUCGCCAGUCA